CAGCCGCCGCGGUAAUACGUAGGUGGCAAGCGUUGUCCGGAUUGAUUGGGUGUAAAGGGUGUGCAGACGGCUUAUUAAGUCACUUGUUAAAUUCUUCGGCCUAACUGAAGGUCUGCAAGUGAUACUGAUGAGCUAGAGGGUGGAAGAGAGAAGUGGAAUUCCACGUGUAGCGGUGAAAUGCGUAGAGAUGUGGAGGAACACCAGUGGCGAAGGCGACUCUCUGGUCUGUAACUGACGCUGAGGAGCGAAAGCGUGGGGAGCGAACAGGAUUAGAUACCCCCGUAGUCCCUGUCUCUUAUAA
rnacentral:rRNA from 1 species